AUAACAAAAGUUCAACAGUUUUGAAUGUCUAUAAAUAAUGAUCAAAAGUUAUUUUCAACUCUUUGUCCCUAAGUUGGUGUUGCGUUGAAUCAACCGUAGAAAUUCUAGAUUGUUGGCCAACUUGUUCAUUAUAUCCUCAAGAUUGUGAGUCCGUUUGUCUUGUGUCCAAAUAGUUGAUUGAAACUCUUCAUUCUUAGAGCGAGACGCUUCUAACUCUGCUGCCAAUGAAGCUUUUUUUUUUUGCUAGAUGAAGACUUCUCUACUCGAGGACCAAAUCCAAAACCAAGCAAUCUCCCUGCAUUCAUGCCCAACACUCGAGUCAUAAUCUCCCUUUUGUCAUUGCUGUCAACAUUUCUAGAUUCUGCUUCCAUCUCAGAGAUACAUUCAGUCUCAAGUGAUUUCAUUUCAUUCUAUGAAAUUAACAACAAAUGAAAAUAAUCCAAAGAUAAUCCCAAAUUUAAAAACAAGAUAAGGGUUGUAUAACUUAUCAUUUGCAAGUUGUACCCACUCGCUUGUCCGCUUUUUUCUGAUGUGUGAUUUUGUAACCUUCAAUUGGAUAUCCCUGAAAAUCAAUUUAGAAAAAUUAAUAACAAUAGAAUUAUUUUAUUUUAUUUUUUUGCUAGAUUUGUUUGUAUAUAUAAAAUAACAAAAAACAAAUAUUACAAUACAGCUCAUAGCAUUAUCACAUCUCCCAAGGGGACUAGAGCACCUAGGUAAAACUAGAAAACCAAUUACCUAACCUAAUUGCAUUAGAUCUCACAACCAGAGGCUAGGUAAAAAGAGAACUUAAUAAAACACUAAAAAAGCUAAUGAGAUUUAAAGUUACAAUCAACUUGGGCCACAAAGCUAAGAAUAUGGUUGACUUACACCAGCUGUAACUAAGGAUCUCAAAGGUAUGAAAAUGCAAUUAUUGGAUAGAGAUGAUUAAUGAUGGUGAUAAAUAAGAAACCUAUUUAGUGUUUCUCUUUCUGUAUGGGUACACGUUUGUUGAACUAGUGGUCAACGCUUUUAUUGAAUCACGUGUAAAAUGUGAGUCGCUGACUUUUGCUAAAAUGUCUUUUACGACCUGGGGAUUUAAACAGUGCUGGUUGAGUAUAUUUAUUGUCAACUAAACUCAAAAUGGAGACUCAUCAAAGACUAUAAAUCUGUUUAUUCAAAUCACAUUUUUGGAUCCUGAUUGGAUUAGCAUUGGCAGACCACUUUUCGAUGGUGUCGUCGAUGGAAUUAGUGAUUCAAAGUUAAAAUGUAGUCCUUUUAAAAAUGGUGGUGAUUGUCAGAAGAAUGAAGGUUCCAAAAUGAAAAGGUUAAGAAAGAAUGACCUUAAUGUGAAGAACUCUAAAAAGAGCACAUAAUAUGCAUGUGCUUCAGUUACAAACUACAAUAUUUGAAACUAUAGAGAACAACCCUUAACUAGAAAAUAUGUCUUUAUAAAGUAAACAAUAUUUGAAUCUAUAUAGAACAAACCUUAAAACAUUUUGACAAAUCUAUUUAGGUUUAUGAUGCAGUGCAGGGUGAAGAUGAUAUGUAUCCUUCGAGUUUAUAGCUAACAGAAACCUCUGUUUAGAAAAUGUUCAUAAGUUUCCUAGAGCUCAAUUUCAGGCAUUGGACAAACUCGUAGAUAUUUGCCAUGGUACUUGAUUUUCCUUGAGAAAAUCAAACGUUUUGGAUUAAUAUAGGAUACUCUAUAGAAACAUAGACCAAAAGAUGUGCAUUAGUUUUCUUGCUUUGAUUGUUUUCCAAGUAAAAUGUCUAAAGUAUCUAGUGAAGGAGUUCAACUAACAUUUCUUGAUUUGCUGGUAAACCAAUCUCAAACGAACCUUCAAAUUAAUAUGCAUGAAAUGUGAAAACAUGCAUGCAUGUAGAAUUGGUUAGAAUUCUAUAAUAUAGUAAUUGGAUCACCAAAAGAUUGUGAAAAAGAAAAAGAUAAAUAUUAAAUUUACGUACGUACAUACAUGCAUACAUAUAGUGUUGUCUAGUGAGCAAGAGACAACACUAUAUGUAAUCUAAUCUUCUUUGUUCUGUUUCUCUCUCUAUAAUUUUCUGAUCAAAUGGCAAAAAAGAUUUUUGAAUCAAUAAAAGACAGUACAAAAACUGCAUUGAACAGUCAAAACAUAUGUAUACAUGUCUAAGUGAGUUAAUUAUAUAUUCUUGAUGCAAAGUGUGGUGAAAAUUGCACUGGUGCAGAAUCAUUAACAAGUUGCAAACAACCAAACCCCUAGAAAAUCCUAAUUUACCCAAAACAGAACACAAUGAAAAAUAAAAAGAAAACCCAAAACAAAUAGAGAGAAGGAGUGUUUGGGGACAGAAAUAAUGAAAUACUAGAUUGAUUCUUACUGAAACUCAUCAGCAAUUUCUUUCUUGUUCAAUUCCUCAUAUUUCCACUAUCUCUCAUUCCACUUUGCCUGAAAAUAAUUAAAAACCCUAAAAUUAGUGAAAUUAGUAUUAAUAAUACUUAAUAAUCAGAAAAACUGGAGGGAUUUUGAAAUUAUAAAAUUAGAUAACCUUGUAGCUAAUUUCAAGGCGAUGCAUCACAUAGAAGCCAAGAACUCCUCCGAGAAUUGUCCCUGUCAUUAUUCUCAUAUACGCCCAUGAUAUUGGUGACACCAUUUUCUCUCUUCUCUCUAUAUCGAAGUCUGAGCGAAAUGAUUUGGGAAUUUCCAAUUUGG
rnacentral:lncRNA from 1 species